AAUGUUCUUUUCCGUUAAUAAAAGAGCUAUGAUAUGAAAUCAAGGUCAUUAAUUGUAAUUAAGGACACUGAUUAAUACACUUUUUUGUGAGUAUAUCACUCAUCUGGGGAUCUUUUGAUCAUUUGUUUAAUAGAAAAGGCGUCCGCAACGAUAUUUUUACUGACAUUGUUUACAUUCCUGGCUUUAGGCGACAGGAUACUGUUUUUGAAUACAAACAUGUUUAAACAGCUAAGGGCUUCUUGAAAGAGGACUUUUUUUUUUUAUAGCAGAAGAAAUUGGGGAGGCACUGCCUGAUAAGGUAAAAAUUUCUGAACUGAAAGAUAUUUUGAAAAGCAAAGAGUAUUUGGAUGAUCCAGACUUUGUGACAAAUAUUUUUUGUGACGGCCGAGAGCCAGCGAAAACUAAAAGAACAAAAGCGAACAUAAUUUGAAAAAGCGGAAAGAUUAAAACAGCUGGAAUACGAAGUGGAAAAAUAAGAGAACACCAACUGGAAUUUUCGAGAAUCAGAGCAACAUUGCCAAUUACAUGCGAGUCUCAAAAUAUUGUUAUAUCUGGCACUAAAAAGAAAUUUUAUCUGCCAAAAUUAGAAUUUAGACAGUUUAAUGGCGAUAUUAAAGAUUGGCUAUAAUUUUGGAGCCAAUUUCAACAUAUUCAUGACGAUGAUGAAAUCGCGCCUGAGAACAAAUUUCAAUAUCUUGUGCAAGCUACUGUAAAUGGAUCUCGAGCCCGAGAAGUAUUAGAAAGCUUCUCGGCAACAGCAGCCAAUUAUGCCAAAGCAGUUAAAAGUUUAAAAGCGCGAUUUGGUAGAGAUGAACUAUUAGUAGAGGUUUAUGUUCGGGAAGUUUUAAAGCUGAUAAUUUCGGUUCAAAAACAUGAGAGAAUAUCGAUGACAUCCCUCUGUGAUAAACUUGAAUCUCAUCUGAGAGCCUUAGAGACUUUAGGAGUGACUACUGAUAAAUGUGCUUCAAUUCUUUAUCCCAUGGCGGAGUCUUGUUUUCAAGAGGAUUUUCUGAAAGCAUGGAAUAGAAGUGCUUCUUUAACAGCCUCAACUGAUGCUAAUGAACGUUUAACCAAUUUAAUGACUUUCCUUAAAGCGGAACGGAAGGCGAAAAAAGAAUUAAUUUGGCUAUGGCUGGUUUUGGCUUGGCUGCAGAUGAAAAUCGCCAAUCAUUUAACAAAAAAGUAAGAGAUUUUCCAAUGAAAAAGGUACCUACAGCUGCCAAUUUAUUGACUACAGCUUCAAAAGAAGUGAAGAAUAAAUGUGUUUUCUGUACUGGGAAACACUCGAGCCCAGACUGUUUUCAACCUCAGAUGAGUUUGGCUGAAAGAGCGUGAAAUUUGUGGGUCAUAUUAUCUGAGGAGAAUGUUUUUCAUAAAAAUUUAAGAGCGUGAAAUUUGUGGGUCAUAUUAUCUGAGGAGAAUGUUUUUCAUAAAAAUUUAAGGUUUGU